rfam:Populus trichocarpa scaffold_1_contig_775, whole genome shotgun sequence.
UCUAAAACUCAAGAUAUGGGCUAACCAUCGAACAAUGUCUGGGUUGCAGGACAAAUUCAAACUUCUUUUUUGUUGCUAAGAUUUGAAGUUGAAAACGGUAGCUUUGAAUCUUGGACUCCCAUGAAUGUUUUAGACUUAUGUCUCAGCUUUCCAUC